CAGACAUCACAUUUGAGUUCCAGGAAGCCAGUAAGAGGGAGAAAAGAAGUGCAUGUUGAUUUACUUUAAAGAAGACUUCUAGGGAGAACCACCUAAAAUUCCCCAACCUAGUCACACAAUCUUAUCUGGCUGCAAUCGCACCUGAAAAAUGCAGUUUUACUCCAAACGGUAAAAAGAAAAGGACUUUCUCCAGGAUUUAAGAUAAACAGUCUCACCGUUUUUGCGUUCUGCACAAUCUUCAUCCAUCUUUAGAAUAUCCUCGUAAGCUGGGGAUCAAUUCAGCUUAGAAGAAACCAAAGGAAGAAUGUGACUUGGAGUAAAAUCUUCAUUCCUAGCGGUUGCAUUGAUAAACCAUCAGCUCCCCAGUCUGAACAGUAGAUGGUUCUCAAGGGUAACGCCCCUUCGCACUUCUCACCCCAGCACGCGGACGAGCGCUGGCACUGGAGGAGCCUCGCGAAGAAAAGCUGAUAACAGGGAAAACUAAUAGAACUCACUUCCUCAGUCUGAACCUGCUUCUAUCUUAUAUUGACUUUUAUUUCCCUAAAUAGAAGAGCUUCCCAUACGUCAUAUACAUUUACAUAUUUCAUCGAGAACAAGAAAUAUCAACUGGCUAGAACUAUAAUUACAACAUAUUUUCUUUUCCUCAACAUGAUGAAAGGUAUUUUAAGUACCUCUUUAUGGGCCCUUUUCUAAGCACUGUACUUAACUGAUUAAGAAACCACGAAAAUCAUUUAAGUAUUUCUAAUGUCUAUAAAUAAUAGUAAUAUUUAACAUUGAAUACUGUUAUAAAUGUUACAUCUAUUUACUCAAUUAAACAUUAAUAAAGCCGUUUUGUUAAGAA
rnacentral:lncRNA from 1 species